rnacentral:rRNA from 1 species
GAUGAACGCUAGCGGCAGGCUUAAUACAUGCAAGUCGUGGGGCAGCAUGAGUAGCAAUACUUGAUGGCGACCGGCAAACGGGUGAGGAACACGUACACAACCUUCCUUCAAGCGGGGAAUAGCCCAGAGAAAUUUGGAUUAAUACCCCAUAAUAUAUUUGAUAAGGCAUCUUAUUAAUAUUAAAGCUUCGGCACUUGAUGAUGGGUGUGCGGCUGAUUAGAUAGUUGGCGGGUAACGGCCCACCAAGUCUACGAUCAGUAGCUGAUGUGAGAGCAUGAUCAGCCACACGGGCACUGAGACACGGGCCCGACUCCUACGGGAGGCAGCAGUAAGGAUAUUGGACAAUGGACGAAAGUCUGAUCCAGCCAUGCCGCGUGAAGGAUUAAGGUCCUCUGGAUUGUAAACUUCUUUAUAUGGGACAAAAAAGGGCAUUCUUGUUCACUUGACGGUACCAUAUGAAUAAGCACCGGCUAACUCCGU